GUCGGAGUAGAGCAGCCCGGUAGCUCGCCAGCCUCAUAAGCUGGAGGUCGAGGGCCCGUAACGAACACGCCGGGGAGCCCGGCCGCUGCCG
rnacentral:tRNA from 1 species